ensembl:snRNA U1 U1 spliceosomal RNA
AUACUUACCUGGCAGGGGAGAUGCCAUGAUCACAAAGGUGGUCUUCCCAGGGCGAGGCUUAUCUGUUGCACUCUGGAUGUGCUGACCCCGCGAUUUCCCCAAAUGUGGGAAACUCGACUGCAUAAUUUGUGGUUAUCAUUUAUCUAAAAAAUGA